rnacentral:rRNA from 2 species
GAUGAACGCUAGCUACAGGCUUAACACAUGCAAGUCGAGGGGCAGCAUGGUCUUAGCUUGCUAAGGCCGAUGGCGACCGGCGCACGGGUGAGUAACACGUAUCCAACCUGCCGUCUACUCUUGGACAGCCUUCUGAAAGGAAGAUUAAUACAAGAUGGCAUCAUGAGUCCGCAUGUUCACAUGAUUAAAGGUAUUCCGGUAGACGAUGGGGAUGCGUUCCAUUAGAUAGUAGGCGGGGUAACGGCCCACCUAGUCUUCGAUGGAUAGGGGUUCUGAGAGGAAGGUCCCCCACAUUGGAACUGAGACACGGUCCAAACUCCUACGGGAGGCAGCAGUGAGGAAUAUUGGUCAAUGGGCGAGAGCCUGAACCAGCCAAGUAGCGUGAAGGAUGACUGCCCUAUGGGUUGUAAACUUCUUUUAUAAAGGAAUAAAGUCGGGUAUGGAUACCCGUUUGCAUGUACUUUAUGAAUA